GCCAGACACGGUGGCGCACAUCUGUAAUCCCACUGACUCAGGAGGCUGAGGCAGGAGGAUCUUGAGUUCAAAGCCAGCCUCAAUGACUUCAAGACUUAGUGUGGCCCUAAGCAACUCAGUGAGACCCUGUCUCUA
rnacentral:sRNA from 1 species